rnacentral:rRNA from 1 species
ACACCGGCAGCCCGAGUGGUGGCCGCUAUUAUUGGGCCUAAAGCGUCCGUAGCCGGGUGGGUAAGUCCCUGUGGAAAUCCUCAGGCUUAACCUGAGGAAGUGCGGGGAUACUGCCCACCUUGGGGCCGGGAGACGCGGAGGGUACUCCAGGGGUAGCGGUGAAAUGCUGUAAUCCCUGGGGGACCACCAGUGGCGAAGGCGCUCCGCGAGAACGGGCCCGACGGUGAGGGACGAAAGCCAGGGGAGCGAACGGGAUUAGAAACCCUAGUAGUCC